GACGCAGGGUGUGAGAUGGCAGGAAUGUUCAUUUCCUCUUCAGAGGAUUAUGGAAAUCUUCCAUCGAUGGGAGCGUUCGGCGGGAAGCCCGCCAGCAGCAGCAGCAGCAGCAGCAGGAGAGAGUGCAGGCCCUGUGCUCCGCGCCAGCCUUCUCCAUUACCUCCUCGCGGCGGAAUCGAUCACCUCGUCGCGGCCCAAGUUCAAACACAUCUGUGGGGAUCAAGGAGGCACGCACCAGGAUUGCAGGAUCGAGCUGUGGAGAUUGAAGGACGAGCAUAUCAUAUAUUUGUCGGUGGCAGAGUUUCAUCAUGUCGGCUGAGGCACCCAUCAAGCCUCGCCAGCUGCAGGUCGCGAGGAUCCGGCAGGAGGAGGAGGACAGUUGGAUUAGCGGCGAGGAACUGUACACUGAGGGCAGCAGUGAUGACGAGGGAGGUGUCCACGCACACGCUCAUGCUCAUGUGCACGCCCACUCUCAACAUCAGCCCAUCCGUACCCCAGCAUCUCCCACACCACACACCUCCACCAAGGCAGAUUCUCCUAAAAGCCCUGUUGUUCAGCCUCUCCUGUCCACCACACCGUCUGCAGCCUCCGAGCCCGCCGAGCAGACAGAUCCCCACCUGACGGAAACUACCCGCCGGCUGUCUCUAAUGGGGCUGGAAAAGGUUGAAAGCGUCGCCAAGACGCCCACAUCCAAAGAUGCUGAUGAGGUGGAAGAACAAGAGGAGGUGAUGCUGUGGCGGCCCAAGAGAGGCUCCAUCAAACUACCUCACAUCGAGCUUGACCCUCCCGCCCCGUCACUCCUGGAGCAGGUGUCGGGCUAGGCCAUCACUGCCUUCCGCCUUCCUUGCGCCUUUAACCUUACUUUCCAAUAGGUCUUUUUUAACCUCUGAUAUAUCCUCGGUUAUUAGAUGUUUGCAUUACCAUUUCUAUGACGCAUUUCUCUAUGCAGAACUCUCUCUCUCUCUCUCUCUCUCUCUCUCUCUCUCUCUCUCUCUCUCUCUCUCUCUCUCUCUCUCUCUCUCAGCUGCUAACUCAGUCUUAUUAUUUUUUUUCUUUUCCCGCAUAUUUUUACAUUUAUACUAAACCAAUUUACCUGUGUUAUUAUAUAUAUAUAUAUAUAUAUAUAUAUAUAUAUAUAUAUAUAUAUAUAUAUAUAUAUAUAUAUAUAUAUAUAUAUAUAUAUAUAAGAUUUCUCCGUUCGGCGACUUGAAUUGUACGAGUAGUUAAGUAAGUUUAACCUGAUCGUGAAUUCUGUGUUUACCGUUGUCUGUGUAAAGAGAUAUUUUAUGUAAAUAUUAUUUGCCUUUGAUGUCUUGUCAUUUGUUCUCUGUAGCUUGACUCGCACAGUAUUUAUCCUACAGUAAGCUAUUUUUCGUCAAGACGCUGUAGCCUUAGUGUUUGCAUUUGUAUCGAGGAACGGGAGAGAGAAUGAAUUGCUCGAGUUAGUGGUUCAGACACCCGAAUGAGGGUGGAGGUGAUGGGUGUUUAUGGCACACAUAUUUGCAAUUGCCGGCUCUGUACCGCAGCUCGGUAGAGAGGGAAGCAUGGGAAAGGUUUGCAGCAGGUUUGGCAGAUGUGUCGUGUGAGCUUGAUGCCGAAUGAUGGCGAACACACUCAUGAUCAAAGUAUGUAUGUCUCUUUGUUGAAAGACACAUUAAAAAGGAUUUUUACA